CAACUUUUGGCAAUGGAUCUCUUGGUUCUCCCAUCGAUGAAGGACGCAGCGAAACGCGAUAGCUAUUGUGAAUUGCAGGACGUGAAUCAUUGAAAUUUUGAACGCACUUUGCGCUCGCUCAGUCUUAACACCUGGCGAGCAUGCCUGUCUGAGGGCCGCGAA
rnacentral:rRNA from 1 species